GAUCCUGGCUCAGGAUGAACGCUAGCUACAGGCUUAACACAUGCAAGUCGAGGGGGCAGCAUGGUCUUAGCUUUGCUAAGGCCGAUGGCGACCGGCGCACGGGUGAGUAACACGUAUCCAACCUGCCGUCGUACUCUUGGACAGCCUUCUGAAAGGAAGAUUAAUACAAGAUGGCAUCAUGAGUUCACAUGUUCACAUGAUUAAAGGGUAUUCCGGUAGACGAUGGGGA
rnacentral:rRNA from 1 species